rnacentral:rRNA from 1 species
UACCAAGGAAUUAAGUCAUAUAUCUAUGGUAAAAAGACAGUUAAAUGUAUAUUUUCUGAAUUUAUAAGGUUGAUUUAAUGUUUUGCAUAGAAGUAAAAUUUGAGUGCAGUUGUAUGAUUUGUUAAUAACUUUUAGGUUGAAGCUGUGAAGUCCUUAAGGGAAACUAGGAUUAGGUACCCUAUUAUUUUUGGAUGUAAAUUUGGUGAAGAUUUACCAGAGUACUAUGAAUGUUAAAAAUUUAAAACUCAAAGGACUUGGCGGUGCUUUAGACCACUUAGGGGAACCUGUCUCAUAAUCGAUGAUCCACGAUACACCUGACCUUUUUUUGUAUUCAGCUUGUAUACCGUUGUCGUCGGGUAACUUUUUAGAAAUUAAAAGUUAGCAACAGAAAUAUUAGUAAUUCAGUACGUCAAAUCAAGGUGCAGCUAAUAAAGGGGGGAGGAUGGGUUACAAUUAUAAAAUUAUAGCGGAUAAAUGUAUGAAGUUACAUUAAUUUUAAGGUGGACUUAAAAGUAAAUUAGAAUAUAUAAAUAAUUUGAAUAAGGCUCUGAAGCGUGU